rnacentral:rRNA from 1 species
AUUGAACGCUGGCGGCAGGCCUAACACAUGCAAGUCGAGCGAGCGGCGGGCGGGUGAGUAAUGUAUGGGGACUGCCCGAUAGAGGGGGAUAACUACUGGAAACGGUGGCUAAUACCGCAUAAUAUCGCAUAACCCAGAUGGGAUUAGCUAGUAGGGGGGGUAAAGGCUCACCUAGGCGACGAUCUCGAGCUGGGCUGAGAGUAUGAUGCGCCACACUGGGAGUGAGACACGGCGCAGACUCCUACGGAGGGAGGAGUGGGGAAUAUAGCGCAAUGGGCGCGAGCGUGAUGCAGCCAUGCCGCGUGUAUGAAGAAGGUCUGAGGGUUGUAAAGUACUUUCUGCGGGGAGGCGUAACCCGCAGAAGAAGCACCGGCUAACUCCGUGCCAGCCGCCGCGGUAAAC